rnacentral:rRNA from 1 species
UACGUAGGGGGCAAGCGUUGUCCGGAAUCAUUGGGCGUAAAGAGCGCGUAGGCGGCCCUGUAAGUCCGCUGUGAAAGUCAAGGGCUCAACCCUUGAAUGCCGGUGGAUACUGCAGGGCUAGAGUCCGGAAGAGGCGAGUGGAAUUCCUGGUGUAGCGGUGAAAUGCGCAGAUAUCAGGAGGAACACCGAUAGCGAAGGCAGCUCGCUGGGACGGUACUGACGCUGAGGUGCGAAAGCGUGGGGAGCGAACAGG